rnacentral:rRNA from 1 species
UACGGGGGGGGGCAAGCGUUGUUCGGAAUUACUGGGCGUAAAGGGCUCGUAGGCGGCCAACUAAGUCAUACGUGAAAUCCCCCGGCUUAACCGGGGAACUGCGUCUGAUACUGGAUGGCUUGAGUUCGGGAGAGGGAUGCGGAAUUCCAGGUGUAGCGGUGAAAUGCGUAGAUAUCUGGAGGAACACCGGUGGCGAAGGCGGCAUCCUGGACCAAUUCUGACGCUGAGGAGCGAAAGCCAGGGGAGCAAACGGG